GCCAUGGCAAGCUUCAACAAUCACAGCUCCACAAGUAGGAGAAGCGGUGAUAGCAUGUGUAUGUUCGAGUGGCCCACCACACACUGAGAGAGUUGCACCGUGGAUAAACUGAAGGCCAUAUAGUGUGAAAUGAAUAAAAAGACUCAGAUUGUUUACGCUGCUCUCUCUCCAGGACAAAACUCUCAAACGACUGGUGUGUAAAAGAGGAGAAUGGGCGAACCACGUGCCAGGCUACUGGAGGCCUGUCCUUUUCAUACCCUGUAAUUUUGCAGGGGAUUGUUUCAGCAGCGAAGAACAGGACAGAAGUUUAGAUGAUAGAAAAACAUGGGACCAUGUCUGAAAAAAAUGGAAUAUAAAGUACAGAAAAAACGUGCAAAGGAUGGAAAAAUAAUGCACAGGGAAACUCUGUAAUCUUGGGAAGAACACGAAAAGUCAGAAAGGAGGAAAGCAAGUUGAAACAUGUGUGGUUUUGGCGGUGAAGAUUAUUCUGUUUUCCAGCUGGAUUUGUAUGUGUUUGGGAUAGCUUGUUGUACAGCAGUGGUUGUCCUCAGGACAAGAGAGUAGUGAACAUUCAAAACAGAAAAUACCAACUUUACAGCAAAUCUAGAUUGAUGCUACAUUUCCAGCACAGACAACAGGAGCGAGUGCAGAUUACUUCCCAUUCUUCAAUUCUUCUGUGGAAAGAUGAGUGGGGACUCUGGGACCAGGUGAACACAUUCCAUUCAUGCUGAGUCUACUGGAUGCUGAGAACAUGUGUUAUCUGACAUGUGUUAUCUGACACCAUUUUCACACCGGUAGUUUCUUUCUUUAAAUGUCCAAAAGCCAGAAUUUUGUCUGUGACCAAAACAAACUAGCCUGGAGAGCAUGGUGCUGCCCACUGGGAUUUGGUAUCCCAGGGCAGCGGAAGGCACAGACUGUGGGCCAGCCCAGGACAGACCCGGUUCUGUGCCUGCCCACCCACUGCCAUGCUGCUGCAGUGUAAACUGCACACUCACUCAAGCACUUCUGGUUGUGUAGUACCAUAUUCUGUGCUUUGAACACCCACUGUCCGUAAUACUUUUUCAGUGAGUCUGGAGGAGCUCUGAUGACUCAGUUUCAGCGGAAACUAACUAACUGUUGCAACUAUGAUAAGCAUCUUUAUGAGUAUAGUACCUGCUUGAACUUGCUACGGGUACAAAUACCCACCUCUACUCAAUCAUGGAUAAGGAAGAAAGAUCCUUCAGAGAGCAAACCCAGUACUCAUCCUGUAAAAAACAGAUGCCAGUUAUAACAUAUGCAGAGCUACUGUGCGUGGAAGUGAUAAAUCAUCUCUGGUGAGGCAUGCUUUGAGGUUUCCGUGAGUUUCCCCGCAAGAAACCCCACAGUUGCUAUAUGACCAUGGUGGGGGGCGGGGGGGAAACCAACCCAUAUUCAAUACUAAGGUCUAAAGAAGUGAAUUUUCUACUUCUGGGUCACAACACCAGUUUAUGUGUUUUAUGGCACUGUGAAAAUAAGACCUGUCAUCCUGUAUCUAGAGUGCAGCAGUGUUGUGUCCUCAGCUUACUGUAUUACAGCAGA